GCAGCCUGAUCAGCCAUGCCGCGUGCAGGAUGACGGUCCUAUGGAUUGUAAACUGCUUUUGCACAGGAAGAAACAACGCUACGUGUAGCGUCUUGACGGUACUGUGAGAAUAAGGAUCGGCUAACUCCGUGCCAGCAGCCGCGGUAAUACGGAGGAUCCAAGCGUUAUCCGGAAUCAUUGGGUUUAAAGGGUCCGUAGGCGGUUUAGUAAGUCAGUGGUGAAAGCCCAUCGCUCAACGGUGGAACGGCCAUUGAUACUGCUAGACUUGAAUUAUUAGGAAGUAACUAGAAUAUGUAGUGUAGCGGUGAAAUGCUUAGAGAUUACAUGGAAUACCAAUUGCGAAGGCAGGUUACUACUAAUGGAUUGACGCUGAUGGACGAAAGCGUGGGUAGCGAACAGGAUUAGAUACCCUGGUAGUCCACGCCGUAAACGAUGGAUACUAGCUGUUGGGAGCGAUCUCAGUGGCUAAGCGAAAGUGAUAAGUAUCCCACCUGGGGAGUACGUUCGCAAGAAUGAAACUCAAAGGAAUUGACGGGGGCCCGCACAAGCGGUGGAGCAUGUGGUUUAAUUCGAUGAUACGCGAGGAACCUUACCAAGGCUUAAAUGUAGAUUGACCGGUUUGGAAACAGACUUUUCGC
rnacentral:rRNA from 1 species